ACAGGUGUGACGGAACUGGAAUACGUACCCGUCUCAAAAGCGGGGUCCUGAGGGUUCAACUCCCUUCACCUGUA
rnacentral:tRNA from 1 species